CCAUAAUCUAAAGAAGCUCAGGAGGUGAGACUCCAUGAAGAGAGGAGCCCAGCUGCCCCAGUCUCCAGCGAUCCCAGCUGAGGCCUUGAUGAGUCCCGCUGGAGAACCCUCCCUGCCUCAGAGAGCCUAUCUGCUGGCUACAGUCACAUCACUGACCCAGCUACACACAGUUGCCAGCUUCUCUUGCAGUUCUAUGUGGCCCUGUGAUCCAGCUCCACCCAAUAGAAGUAUGCUACUUCCGGGACCAACCUAAGGAAUUCUGGGAUCUCAAACUUUUGAAAACCAACAGCCAUACAACACUGCAACAAUCAUCAUAGGUCUGUUUUACAAAUGGUUAACCUGUAGAAGUGAAUCAAUGAGCCAGACUGCAGCAUACUCUUGAGUCAUUUACACCUGCCACCAGAGAAGUUUUAUUUUUCACACAUGUUAUGCUCAUCAUCCAUAAGACCAAAGACCUACCAACCACAGGUUCAAAAUCUCAGCUCUGCAAAGAAAAAAGAGUAAUUGUAUCAAUCUACUAAAUGAUACUCCAACGUAGAUAACCAUGGUCUUUUAUGGAUUUCUUUGCCAUUCUUGACAGGAAGUGGUAGCUAUUUUUAAUCAUACAAACUUAAAGACUAAAACAGAAGCUAUUAGAUUUUCCAAGGAGGAAAGCCCCCUUCUGAAGAGAACAAUACAGUUUCUUUCUUGUCAUCUUAUGGGUUUCAUUCCAUUCUCAAAUGCAUCCUGAGGAAAGAUGAACUGACAGGCACCAGAAGCAAGGUCAUACCUUUUAGAUCACCAAUUUGCUUUAGGGGACCUAGAAGCCCAUCUUGGAAUCAUCUCUCUUGCCCACCUGUGUGCCUGCCUUACCAGCCAGAGAUGGUCUCCAGGCAGAGGCUUCCUUCAUUCAGCAACCAUCCUGAGCACCCACUAUGUGUGCAUGCUAGAAAUACAGUGAUAUACAAAGGAGUCUCAGUUCGUGUUUGUGAAAUGAGUGUAUAGUGUAGUAGGGAGACACACAGUAGGUAAUUACACAUGUCUUACUAUCAAAAAUAGCAAGCUAGCUGAUUUGGACAAGACUUCUUACUGAAAAGAACUAAGAAAUUGGUCAAAAUGCAUUCAAAGGAAUAUUAGUGUGAAUUAGAGCUGAAAAUACAGUGAAGGAAGAUGAGAACCUGCAAGUUGCUUCUGCACUGAGAGCAUUUGCUGAUUUGGAAAAAAAUUCAACUCUCCUUCAAACAGCCUCAGUGAGCAAGGAGGACGGAAAUAAAAACCCAGAGUCUGCAAACAGUGAAGGGUCUGACAUGAGAUCCUCCCCAAAUAAUAAGCUGGAACACGAAAGGGCUACAGGGCAAGGGUGAACUGGAAAGGUAUCACUUCUUUCUUUAAAUUGCCUAAGUUCUGCAGAAAACAGUCUCAAAUUUCAUCUCUCCAAUAUUAAAGUGGCCUCCAGGUAAAAGGCAAAAGCCAAAGGAAGUCUUAUCUGGAGGAAGAUACUUUCACCGUAGACCUCUAUAAAUUUCUGUUCUUUCAGGGAAAGAGGAAGACAAUGCUUAGAUUUAUGGUUGUUUCAGGGGAGCUGGUGAAAUGUAGCUCAAGACUUUUGGAAUAGUUCAGGAGAAGAAUGGGAGAAGAAACUAAAGCGAGUGAAAUAAAACAACACUGAGUAGUAAGAAGAGCCCAAGUGAUCCUUGAGCCAGAGAUUGUAACAUUGUCUAUGAUCCUUCUGGGCAAUGUAUGCUUCCCGGACCUUCGUCAUCAGCACCAUCUGAGAGAUUAUGGGAAAUAGACUCUCAAGCCUGACCCCAGACCUACGGAAUUGGAAUCUGCAUUUUAACAAAAUCCCUAGGUGAUUCGUAUGCACAUUAAAGUUUGAAAUAAUGAAUGGGAAUAAUGAAACCUGAUCUAGAUCAGUGAGAAUGGGAAAAGAGAAUGACUGUUAGAUAUGUAGCUGCUGCCCAUUACGAUGUUAGAGGCCAUGGGUUGGCUAACAGACUCUGUAGUUUCUAACUUAAGCACCAGAAAGAUGAUGCUUCAACAGGCUUUCAAACCCCACGGCAUGCACAAAGCCAUUAGGAAGGCAAAUGGUAUUACACAAUUUUUUUUGUCCCACUUGUUGCUUUGGCUUAGAGAAAAUGGACAGAGUUUCCAUGUGAUUUGAGUGGAAGUGUAAUUGGAAUUCAGUAUCUUGAGUCUGGAACCACUAAUUGUUCUGCUGAGCAUAAUAUUGGACAAAGUAUUUUCCAAGUAUGAUGAGCAAAACUAAAUCCAAAAAAAAAAAAAAUCAACUUUCCAGGAGAUGGUUGGAGUCAGCCAGCCUCUGCUCCACUGUAACCAUGUGGGAUAAAAAAAAAGGCAUGAUGAAAAAUGCAGGUAUGUCAGAGGAUGUGCAACAGGACUUGCCAGAGCAAUACAGCACAGACGAUCUUGCAACCUAUGCGGAGAUGGAGUUUGACAAGAAGUACAUCCCAUUCUGGCAGUGCACCAUGAGGAGAACUGGAGAGAGUAAGUGAUACACGAAACCAAAUACUGUAUCUGCUUCUACCUGGGACAAGUGGUCAUUCACCUGUACAAACCUAGUAAAAUGCUUGGACUGUGU